CCCCGCGUGCAGAUCAGCAGCUGCGCUGUUGUUGUUCUUCUUCUCCUCCUCCUUAAUUCUUCCACUCCAAAAACGUCAUUUCAUCGUAACUUUUUCAUACGACAACGACAUCUCGCAAGGUCGGAGCCUGUAGAUUCGUAUCAGCUGAACCAUCUUCCAUCUGAUAUGACACCCACACCUCAAAAUCAACUGUGCUCAAAGAUUGGAGCCUAGAACAGUGACCCUUUUUUGGCGGAGUUUUGCUGAUUCCGUCCAAUUCCGCCGGAAUUUGGUCUCGGCCCAAGAGAGAAAGUUGAUCCUCUCCUAACGAUCUUUCUACCUAUACUUGAGUUCGUUGACCGAAUUGAAAGUUUUUUUUUUGUUUUUUUUAGUUUUUGGUUUGAGGGUUUUUAAUUUUUUGAUUUUUUGUGCAGGUAAAGGAAGAACCCAUAAGUGAUAUGUUCACUGAAUGACUUGAUAGGAGUGCUCUUCAUUGGGUUAGAGAGGUUCGUGAAGAAAACUCUGGCUCGAUCUCUCCGAAGACGAAAGCUGUGUAGCCGAUUCAUCCCCUCCGGUUUGAAGGGUUGAGGUUGUGAAGCUUAUGUUGGGUGACAUUGUGAUUUCUGUUGAGACAGCGACAAGGCAAGCGGAGGAAAGAGGCCACACGCUUAUUGAUGAGAUACGUGUUCUCAUGAUACAUGGGUUGUUACAUUUACUAGGAUUUGAUCAUGAGAUUAGUGAGGAGGCCGAAGUGGAAAUGGACAAGGGAGGAGGAGGAGCUCCUUUAAAGAGUCUUGGGUGAAAGGGGAAAUGAUUAAUUCAAAGUGCACAUGAUGCCGAAACUUACACAAAUUCCUAUGAGGAAAAACCAGAUGGAAGGAAGAGAGAAGGCAACCUGCGAUUCUAUAAACCAAAGUUAUAUACAUUUUCUGUGUAUGGAUGGUAAGUUGGUGGUUAAUGUAAUCUUGCGCCUUCACUGUGCUUUUUUUUAUUUUUAUUUGUUAGAUGAUCAAUUGAUGUAUUUUAUGACAGUCGAUCUGCAAGAUGUAAAGAUGAUUUCUUUGUUUAUGUAUACUGUUUAAUUAUAUCAAUGGAAAUUGGUGCUGCCAUUGUGGCAGUAGAUGAAUUUCUGGCUUUUGAGAUGAAGUACUAUAAAAUUUUGAUUUCUUUUUUCUUUACAUGCUUUGCUUUUAAUUUUGCAGGAAUUCUCACGUCGCUUUGAUUAAGUUAUACAUGGCCAUGAUAAGGUAUUGCUCAUCAGCCUCAUCCCCACAAACAUUUUGUACAUGUGUGACAUUAAUAUAUUUUGUUUUCCGAUUGAAUUUGUUUUGAUUCAAUGGGGUUGGUGAGCUAAACAGCAAGUGGCUUUUUAAUCGUGUUUAAAUUGAAGUCCUAAUUUCGGUGGUUUGUUCAUAAUUAGUGUGUUAUGUUGUUUUACUGUGUGUUUUUUUAUGUGUUUGUUAAUUUAUGGGAGUCUUCACAAGAAAUGUUGUGUACGAAGAUAUUUUGCUUCCGUCAAAUAUAUGAUAAGGUUACAUUCAUUCUGUAAUAUUUAAUUCACUUUUCAAAUCCCCGUAGAUAAAUACAUUUAAAUUGUAUAAGUCGCGCGUAGAACGUCGUAAUUUUAAAAAGGCCUUCUGCACAUGCGUGAGCGCCUGCAGGGAGGCUAGUUAUGGAUAAUAGUGAUGCUAAAACAUUGAAUAGCUAUUGUUAGCCUUUUGAAAAAUAUUGUUAAUGCAUAAGGAGGCUAGAGAUGCUCACCGUCAAUGAUAACAAAAUCAAGAACUUGAACUUGUUGACCAUAGAUACCCAUGUAGGACAGCUGAGGACUCUCACCGGAGAACGUUCUUCAACAAAAACAAUAUUUGAAUAAGCUCGCCCAUUAAACUCCAAUCACAAUUGAAUGAACAAGCACCAAAUAGCAUAUACAUUAUUUCAGCACCAAAUAGCAUAUACAUUAUUUCUACACUUACUUUAUUUAGUAAAAUGACGGAUUUAGCCAGCGUGAUCUAUCUGCUUCUUUGACUAAAACCCUCAUAACGCUCUUACCCUGCAACAACGCCGCCUUUAGGCCGCUCCUCCGCAAGUUUUUCCGAAUCGCCGUACGUCGGUCUUCUCCAUUGACUUAUUCCUCAAGACCUCACCAUCAAGUAUUCAAGCUCUGGAGGCAGAGCACCCAAUAAUCGACUCCAAUUUCCAGACGAACACAAGGUCAUCUUGUCUGCAGGUUCUUCUCUACCAGGUCAGCAUCUAUAUGUCAAUGCCGGGUGGCUGGAAGAGGCGGAAGAGCUCAUCAUGUCAAUGCCAGAAAAGCCUAAUUGGGUACGGACACAUGGUGACCUGACGAGAGGGAACCUUGCGUUCAAGCACUUUACUGAACUGAACCAAUGUCUAAGAUUGUUGGUCAUUGAUGAAAAUGAAAUUGGAACUCCUUUCUUUACGUUGGAAGACUGCAAAACCGCAAAAAAGGGCAAUCCUCUCAUGGACAUGCAAUACUCUUGAUACGUAAAGGGGCUUUCGGCACAAAUUAAUAAGAGCAUACACCAGUGCAACUGAGUUUCAGCAUGUUCCUCUCUCUGCUCUCUUUGGGAGGAGGUUAUCAGAAAGUUACUCACCCUUGGUGUCUGCAUAAACUCAAGUCUGGACUUGUGCCGGAACUGGUUCAUGUGUCAAGCAUGCACGCACCAAGGACCAAGUCGCUCGACCUGCUGCAUGGAGAAAGCUGGAGAUGAUCGGAUAAUUAAUGUUGAAAGAGUAUGGAAAACUUGCAACAUGAAAGUUGUAAAUGGAUUGCAUGCUGUGUUUUAACACAUUUUUUAGACAUUUUGAUUUAAAUAACAUUAAACUCUUGAUGUUGUUUGAAACUGGAAGUACCUGGAUCUUCAGAGCAUCGUAUAAUCUAUUUUUAGGCAAGGAAUGUGGGAUAUUUUAGGCCAGUAUCGUCCUUUUCCAGGUUGACAUCUUUCUUUUUGUAAAGGACACCUGACGAUCGAAAGUAACCCAAGUGAAAGAGGCAGGCCCUCUUCUGGAAUCGAUGCUAGCUUUGGACAAUCUUCGAGGCUCAGAGUUUGAAGAGAGGUGAGGAAUUGAAUGCCCUUGCUGAUUUUGUUCAGAUUUGGGAAGUCAUAAAUUUCGAGUUCAGUGAGGGAUUUGGGGAGCAGCAUCUCCUCCUUCCCAUCAGGUGGAAAUGACAACACAUCUGGAUCUUCACUUCUGAUCAACAACUUUCUAAGAGAGGAGAGUUUGUGCAACCCCCAGUCCAACUCCCAGAGCCGCUUACAACUCUUGACUUUAUAAAUUCCAAGUGAUGUCAGGUUGGGAGGAGAGGAAGUCAAGAUAUAAAGAUGGUGGGAAAUGGAAGAAACCUGAAGCAAAAUUGGGAAAUUUGGGUCUGCUCUGUGAAUGCCUCAGAGAAAUUUAGUUGAAUUUUAUCUGCGAAAUUGUUCUUUUUUGCUCCUAAUGUGCUAUUGAAAGCUCUAGAGGCAGAGCACCCAAUAAUCAACUCCAAUUUCCAGACAAACACAAAGUCGUCUUCUUUGCAGGUUCUUCUCUACCAGGUCAGCAUCUAUGCAUUGCAAUAAUAUACUCUAUAUAUAUAGAUGUAUGUAUACGUCUGCAAGUUUGUUUCAAUCUUUCAUUGUACUAGAUUUUCCUGUAAGUCUGGUCAACAGGUGCUUAAAGUUUUGAAUUUCAUGUUUUAUUAUUCGUACCACUUUGUUAUAAACUUAGGAUUUAGUGAUUGGCUUAAUCACUAUUAGGAGUUUAAUAUUGGAUUUGUUAGGCUUUUCUUGUUUUUAGUGAAGUCUGUUAGAAAUGCCAGCUGGCAUUAAAGGUAAAAGUCUAUAAAAGGGAGCUGAGCUCCCUGAAUUGUAUCAGAUCAGAAUUUACAAACAGAAAUACAAACCAAAAAAUAUAUUGGAGCCCUUGCUCCCUUCUACUUCA